rfam:Schistosoma rodhaini strain Burundi genome assembly, scaffold: SROB_contig0005230
AGCUUUUUGAAUCCGUGCAGAAAUUUUGUCAGACACCAACCCGUUGGGGUUGAUCAGAUUUUCAAGACAAGUGAAGUU